UCCCUGCCUUCCGUGGCUUCUCCUACCACCACGACCCCCCUAACUGGCCCCUCCAACAGAGGGUCCUGGGGCAGAUACUGCAGGCUAGAAUCCUUCCAUUAGAGACAGGGAUGGAGGAGGGGGAAAGGUCACAGACACUCUACCCUGGUUGCAGGCAUGCUUCCCUCCUCCCUACCUCCAUGACAAGUCACUGAGGCCAGAGACUGACCAGCCUUGUGGAAAGAGGUCGGGAGAGAGAAAGAGAAAGAGAGGAUCCCAAGCAGUCUCUGCACUGUCAUCAUGGAGCCUGACGUGGUGCUCAAUCCCAUGGCCCUGGGAUUGCGACCUGAGCUGAAACUAAGAGCUGGAUACUCAACCAACAAAACAAUCCAGGUGCCCCUACUGUGAAGUUCUUAAGAAGAAACAUAAGCCAGCAAUCUUGUCUGGUCUAGGCCAGUAUGCUUUUCUUUCAGAAGCCUGUGUGUGAUUUGGGGAUGAGAGCCCCGGAGGGAGAAGAGGGUCACCAGACUACAGAUUCAGGGAGCACUGCAUUAAAAAAAAGUAUACACCCACCAUGUGCAAUAUCCUUGUACUUCUGCAGGACAAAGUAGGUUGGGGGUGGAGGCGGGGGGCCAGGAGCGUCUGGCCCACUGGAGAAUGUGGCUUCACCUAGAAACUAUUCUG